UAAUCAUGUUAAGUACAUGCUAGUCACUUGCUAAUCAUGCUACAAACAUGCUAGUGACAUGCUAGAUACCUUGCUAAUCAUGUUAAGUACAUGCUAGUCACUUGCUAAUCAUGCUAAAAACAUGCUUGUCACUUGCUAAUCAUGCUAGAAACAUGCUAGCGACAUGCUAGUAACUUGCUAAUCAUGCUAGUGACAUGCUAGUCACUUGUUAAUCAUGCUAGAAACAUGCUAGCGACAUCCUAGCAACUUGAUAAUCAUGCUAAAAACAUGCUAGUCACUUGCUAAUCAUGCUACAAACAUGCUAGUGACAUGCUAGAUACCUUGCUAAUCAUGUUAAGUACAUGCUAGUCACUUGCUAAUUAUGCUAGCAACAUGCUAGCAACUUUGCUAAUCAUGCUAAUGACAUGUUAGUCACUUGCUUUUAAUGCUAGCAAUAUGUUAAUCACUUUCUUUUUUAAACUUCUGAACUUUUCAAAAUUUUAAAUCUUUUUAAACUUUUUAAACUUUUCAAACUUUCUAAAUUUUUCAAACUUUCUGGUCAGGCUUUUUCAAGCCAACUUAAAGUUUGAACACAAACUUUACUAUCUAGUUUGUUUUGUAGUGUAACAAACAACUGUUUUUUUUUUCUUCUCAAAUGGGCACUUGAUGGACUGCAACAACCUUGACAAAAUCAACUUCCUCUAUGAACCAGACAGCAACAGAAAGAUGCACUGUGACUGUUCAUGGCAGUCAAACUCUCAAUGCCUGAUGGAGAGAGACAGGCUAGUAAAUAGAAGUUAAUCGGUCAGAGAGCGUGAAAACGUCCACAGCUCCAUAGAGGCCUGCACAUCCGAGGCCCCUGGAGAUCACCCCUAGACCUGAUGCCGUCUUACACAACGCCAGCUUUUCUGAGGGCACCAACUCAGCUACCAGCUGGUGUUCUUGUCAUCUUGUGCAGGAGAAUAGAAAAAGGAAAGCUAAAAUAUAAUUUCAAGACUGAGUAUAACAGGCUGUUGGUACACCAUGAGGAAGACUUGGAGGGGAGGAAUAAGAGGUUGCUGAAGUCCUGAGCAUUACUUAUCUUCACCAAGAGAUGGUGGAACUUUGCCCAAUGUCUUCACAAUUAAAGAUGGCAUCUCUUCUCCAUUCUGACAUGAAGAAAUAUGUACCCCCUGGAUAGAGGGAGAAAUCCACAUAUGAAAGUCACUCAAGGACAAAGUUUGUCAGGGUAGUUUGGAAAUACAGCUUGAAUGCUGGCAAGAAGAGAGGGUAACUGAAGUCUGCCAAUUUGCUGGUGCCUCAUGUGGCUUGGAACCAACUUCAUCUGCAAAAGUGACAUUCCAUUUAAGCUGCUUGUCCUCCAUAAUUUAACUGGACACAUUUUCAAGCCACUGGGAUAGGUUUUUUUUUUUUUUGACAUUACUCUGUCCUUUAAAACUGAAUUAUAAGAAGUGCUGAUUCCAAAAUCAGUGAAUUAAUUUUUUUGGUUGUUAUACUUUUGUAAACAUGUCAGCUUCUAGUUUUUGCAGUAGGUAAUACAAAUAUAAAUUACGGUAUAAUGGAUACUGAUGUGUUGCAGGCACUGAAUGAUUCCAUUUAUUCAUGCUGACUCCUCUUUCACGUUCCCACUUAUCAAAGGAGACCUCACUGUCACCGCCGAUGCGUGGCUGAAUGGAGAAAUGACAUGUUUCUCUGUUUGUUGAGUGACUGUAUCACUUUGGAGAGCAUAUGCGUUUUGACAGCUUCCUGUCGACUAAUUUUCAACCUGACAUUACUCUGUAAUAUAAAAUUGUAAGGGGUUGGUAAAGAUAGUGUUAGCACUUUAGCCCUGUUCAAUGAUGUCCCGUCAUGCUUGGUUGAUGGCUACCUAAAGCUACCUCACUAUGUGUUUUGACUAGACCUGAUUUGAGUCAAUUUCCCCAUUUGUGGUGACUGUCGAGAGAUUUUGGGCACUAAAUCAGAGUUUAUUGGGCUGUUGUUGUGAUGGGGAAAAUCAACUUUUUGUAUAAGGCUGUUUUCACUACUCAGGAUCUCUAUAUAUCUUGAGAUCUCGACCUCAGAGUUGCUUCACCUUCUGUUGCCAGGCAUUAUUUAUCAAGUAUGCAAAUGGAAAUUGUUGUAUUUUAACGACAUUCCUGAAAACUAGCUUUCCAAAUCUUUGCCUGUUUAUUGCCUCCUAUUGGAUCCUCUAGAGCUUUUAACCUGUUGAUAAUUCU
rnacentral:lncRNA from 1 species